AGGCACUUAAUUUAAAGAAAAUAUUUGAUUUCGGCUCAAAAACUUGUGGUUAAAGUCCACAUUUGCCUA
rnacentral:tRNA from 1 species